rnacentral:rRNA from 1 species
AGUGAACGCUGGCGGUAGGCCUAACACAUGCAAGUCGAACGGCAGCACAGGAGAGCUUGCUCUCUGGGUGGCGAGUGGCGGACGGGUGAGGAAUACAUCGGAAUCUGCCCAGUCGUGGGAGAUAACGUAGGGAAACUUACGCUAAUACCGCAUACGACCUUCGGGGGAAAGAGGGGGAUCGCAAGACCUCUCGCGAUUGGAUGAGCCGAUGUCGGAUUAGCUAGUUGGCGGGGUAAUGGCCCACCAAGGCGACGAUCCGUAGCUGGUCUGAGAGGAUGAUCAGCCACACUGGAACUGAGACACGGUCCAGACUCCUACGGGAGGCAGCAGUGGGGAAUAUUGGACAAUGGGCGCAAGCCUGAUCCAGCCAUACCGCGUGGGUGAAGAAGGCCUUCGGGUUGUAAAGCCCUUUUGUUGGGAAAGAAAUCUUUCAGGCUAAUACCCUGGGAGGAUGACGGUACCCAAAGAAUAAGCACCGGCUAACUUCGUG